rfam:Ovis aries breed Texel chromosome 3, whole genome shotgun sequence.
UCCCUGGUGGUCCAGUGGUUAAGACUCUGUGCUUCCAAUGCAGGGGGUGCAGGUUUGAUCCCUGGCCAGGGAA